rnacentral:rRNA from 1 species
AUGCAAGUCGAGCGAAUGAAGUUCCUUCGGGAACGGAUUUAGCGGCGGACGGGUGAGUAACACGUGGGCAACCUGCCUCAUAGAGGGGAAUAGCCUUCCGAAAGGGAGAUUAAUACCGCAUAAGAUUGUAGUACCGCAUGGUACAGCAAUUAAAGGAGCAAUCCGCUAUGAGAUGGGCCCGCGGCGCAUUAGCUAGUUGGUGAGGUAACGGCUCACCAAGGCGACGAUGCGUAGCCGACCUGAGAGGGUGAUCGGCCACAUUGGGACUGAGACACGGCCCAGACUCCUACGGGAGGCAGCAGUGGGGAAUAUUGCACAAUGGGGGAAACCCUGAUGCAGCAACGCCGCGUGAGGGAAGACGGUUUUCGGAUUGUAAACCUCUGUCUUUGGUGAAGAAUAAAUGACGGUAGCCGAGGAGGAAGCCACGGCUAACUACGUGCCAGCAGCCGCGGUAAUACGUAGGUGGCGAGCGUUGUCCGGAAUUAUUGGGCGUAAAGGGCGCGUAGGCGGCUUAUCAAGUCUGAUGUGAAAGUGCGGGGCUUAACCCCGUAAAGCAUUGGAAACUGGUAAGCUUGAGGGCAGGAGAGGAAAGUGGAAUUCCUAGUGUAGCGGUGAAAUGCGUAAAGAUUAGGAGGAACACCAGUGGCGAAGGCGACUUUCUGGACUGCACCUGACGCUGAGGCGCGAAAGCGUGGGUAGCGAACAGGAUUAGAUACCCUGGUAGU